rnacentral:rRNA from 1 species
UACGAAGGGGGCUAGCGUUGCUCGGAAUUACUGGGCGUAAAGGGUGCGUAGGCGGAAUUGUAAGUCAGUGGUGAAAGCCUGCAGCUUAACUGCAGAAUUGCCAUUGAUACUGCAAAUCUUGAGUACAUUUGAUGUGGGCGGAAUGUGUCAUGUAGCGGUGAAAUGCUUAGAUAUGACACAGAACACCGAUUGCGAAGGCAGCUCACAAAACUGUAACUGACGCUGAGGCACGAAAGCGUGGGGAUCGAACAGG